rnacentral:piRNA from 2 species
CAGCAAACUCCAUGAUCUUCUGGCC